UACGGAGGGUGCAAGCGUUAUCCGGAUUCACUGGGUUUAAAGGGUGCGUAGGCGGGUAAGUAAGCCCGUGGUGAAAUCUCUGAGCUUAACUCAGAAACUGCCGUGGAUACUAUUUGCCUUGAAUAUUGUGGAGGUGAGCGGAAUAUGUCAUGUAGCGGUGAAAUGCUUAGAUAUGACAUAGAACACCAAUUGCGAAGGCAGCUCACUACACAAUCAUUGACGCUGAGGCACGAAAGCGUGGGGAUCAAACAGG
rnacentral:rRNA from 1 species